UUCGCGGUCGGGUCCACCUCCCGCGUCACGACCAGGUAUUCGCGCAGCGCGAUGGCGUGCAGGUGCUC
rnacentral:sRNA from 1 species